rnacentral:rRNA from 1 species
UACGUAGGGACCAAGCGUUGUUCGGAUUUACUGGGCGUAAAGAGCGUGUAGGCGGCCAUUUAGGUCCGGUGUGAAAACUCGAGGCUUAACCUCGAGAUGUCAUCGGAAACCAUUUGGCUAGAGUCCGGAAGAGGCGAGUGGAACUCCUGGUGUAGCGGUGGAAUGCGCAGAUAUCAGGAAGAACACCAAUAGCGAAGGCAGCUCGCUGGGACGGUAUUGACGCUAAGGCGCGAAAGCGUGGGGAGCGAACAGG